rnacentral:rRNA from 1 species
AUUGAACGCUGGCGGCAGGCCUGACACAUGCAAGUCGAGCGGAUGAAGGGAGCUUGCUCCUGGAUUCAGCGGCGGACGGGUGAGUAAUGCCUAGGAAUCUGCCUGGUAGUGGGGGAUAACGUCCGGAAACGGGCGCUAAUACCGCAUACGUCCUGAGGGAGAAAGUGGGGGAUCUUCGGACCUCACGCUAUCAGAUGAGCCUAGGUCGGAUUAGCUAGUUGGUGGGGUAAAGGCCUACCAAGGCGACGAUCCGUAACUGGUCUGAGGGGAUGAUCAGUCACACUGGAACUGAGACACGGUCCAGACUCCUACGGGAGGCAGCAGUGGGGAAUAUUGGACAAUGGGCGAAAGCCUGAUCCAGCCAUGCCGCGUGUGUGAAGAAGGUCUUCGGAUUGUAAAGCACUUUAAGUUGGGAGGAAGGGCAGUAAGUUAAUACCUUGCUGUUUUGACGUUACCAACAGAAUAAGCACCGGCUAACUUCGUG